rnacentral:rRNA from 1 species
CCUACGGGUGGCAGCAGUAGGGAAUCUUCCACAAUGGGCGAAAGCCUGAUGCAGCAACGCCGCGUGGGUGAAGAAGGUCUUCGGAUCGUAAAACCCUGUUGUUCGAGAAGAAAGUGCGUGAGCGUAACUGUUCACGUUUCGACGGUAUCUAACCAGAACGCCACGGCUAACUACGUGCCAGCAGCCGCGGUAAUACGUAGGUAGCAAGCGUUAUCCGGAUUUAUUGGGCGUAAAGGGAACGCAGGCGGUCUUUUAAGUCUGAUGUGAAAGCCUUCGGCUUAACCGGAGUAGUGCAUUGGAAACUGGGAGUCUUGAGUGCAGAAGAGGAGAGUGGAACUCAAUGUGUAGCGGUGAAAUGCGUAGAUAUAUGGAAGAACACCAGUGGCGAAGGCGGCUCUCUGGUCUGUAACUGACGCUGAGGUUCGAAAGCGUGGGUAGCAAACAGGAUUAGAUACCCCUGUAGUC